rnacentral:misc_RNA from 1 species
GAUGAAGAACGCAUCGAAAUGCGAUAAGUAAUGUGAAUUGCAGAAUUCAGUGAAUCAUCGAAUCUUUGAACGCACAUUGCGCCCGCCAGUAUUCUGGCGGGCAUGCCUGUUCGAGCGUCAUUUCAACCCUCAAGCCCCCGGGCUUGGUGUUGGGGAUCGGCGUGCCCUCGCGGCGCGCCGUCCCCUAAAUCUAGUGGCGGUCUCGCUGUAGCUUCCUCUGCGUAGUAGCAACACUCGCACUGGAUCGCAGCGCGGCCACGCCGUUAAACCCCCCACUUCUGAAAGUUUGACCUCGGAUCAGGUAGGAAUACCCGCUGAACUUAAGCAUAUCAAUAGCGGAGGA